GAUGGACUGAUUGGACCUCCUUGCAGUCCAAGGGACUCUCAAGAGUCUUCUCCAACACCACAGGACCAGAAUGAGCUACUGGAAUUUCCCCAUGUACCCCACCCACCUCUGGGCCUUAUCUCAUGCUGUUCCCUCUGCCUGUACUGGGAACUCUCCACACCUUCCUUCCCCUCUUCCAGACGGCGCCCUGCCCUUUUAGAGGUACACUCUGAACCUGGCCUGCCUACCCCUCUGAGCCCAGCUCAGUCCACUUCUCCCCUCGCUCACUCCGCCUCGGCCACACUGGCCUCCCUCUGCUCCUCACAUAAAGCCAAGUCCUUUCCUGCUCCAGGACUCUUGUCCUUGCUGUCCCCUUGGCCUGGAAGGCCCUUUCGCUGUCCUUGCUCCUCGUCAUUCAGGUCACAGCUCCAAUGUCACCACCUCUGGGGUGACACAUGCCCUCUUUGCUCCUGCAUGGCCGAGACGACUGAGUGGUCACCUGUCUUCCAGGAGUUGAAGCCUCAGGGAAGCGGAGUCUGCAUUCGUCUUGGUCGCGGUAACCCCAGCACCUGGAGGGUGCUGGAGGGAGACCUGGCACACAGAGAAACCAGGAGGAGAGGAGGGCUGCCAGGGAAGCCCAUCCCCAUCUUGGGGAGCUGAGAGUUUGCAGAUUGCUGACGUGACCAUGCACAGCACUGGGAGUAUACAGAUUGUGUCCAGGAUGGAAGGUAAGACCCCAAAGGACCUCAUGUCCACUCUUCUUUGGAUGAGGAAAACAAGAUCCAGAGAACAGAGGGAUUCACCCAAGACUACUUGAUUAAAUGUCAGGAGCAAGACUCUGGGUCUCCUGACAUUUGGGGUUCAUUUCUUAGUAACGGCACACAAGCCAUUCAAGCAAGGCAGUUACAGGCAAGUAACACCUGUCCCAGGACUUUGGUUGGAGUUGUCAGGAAUAAGGCACUUUCUUUCUCCUGAGGUUGCCCAGCUGGUCAGAUGUAACCCUAGAUAUUGUGAAACUCAUCUUUGUCAUUAACUAGACAGAGGCUACCUGAAGGUUAAGCCAAAGGGAUGGAGAGAGAUUUCAGAUGAUCUUCUUUAAGCACCUGGAUCCAGCUAUGCCUGAAUGCAGUAACAUGAAAUGGUUUCAGUGACACAAGUCAAAACCUUCCAAGUCCGAGACCAUUUGAAUUGGGUUUCUGUCACAUGUAACUGUAAGAGUCCUGACUCAUUCAAUUGUCCUCUUCUGGAGAAGAGAACCCAACCUUCUAAGAACAGCCUGUCAAACUUUGCAGGACUCGGCACAGCUGCUCCACAUCAAAGUGUUUAUGGGGCCCACGCUUGUUCUACCCAAUCUUUGAGCCUCCAAGAGUGCCUCUGUCUAGAAUGUGUUUUCCGCUUGUGUGCCUGGAAGACUCCUUUUCAUUCCCCCAAAUCCUCCCAGCAGUAACUACUUUUCUGAUUUUUUUUUCCAGUCUUCUCCAGAUGGAUCAUUUCUUCCCUUACUAUAUCAAGUAUUUGGUGUAUUUCUCUUAUGCUUUCUCUCUUGGUUUGCAAUCAUCAUUUAUUUAUAUAUUUGCUUCCCCCAGAGGUAAGGAACCAGUUUUCAAAUGCCCUGAUAUCUCCCAAGCUUAACACAGCUCCUGGUAUGUAGGAUGGAGCAGAACUGAACAGAACAUGGGACAGAAAGGCACUAAACAUAUAUAAUUGGCUGAUAUCUUUCAUAAUUAGCCAACGGGAGUCCGUGUCUCCAAAUCUCUCCUGAAGUCAUCUGCCAAAACCGACCAGGGAAGCCUUUUGGAUAGAUAAGCCUUUUGAUACACUUCUACCAAGCCCUGACUUGGUUAUGAGUUUUGGUUCCAGAUUCUCAUCCCUUGGGUUCUAAGCCUGGCUCUGUCACUUCCGGCCUGUGUGUCUGUAGGAAGGAGCCUUAACCUCUCUGGGCCCCAAGCUUCCGGGUUGGACAAAGUGCCACGGUGCUGUGUAAAGAGCUUGGAACGGCGUCCGGCACAUGGUAAGCACCCAGUAAAUCUUAGGUGUCAUUACUCAACACAGAGGAAACGAAAAUUAACAGGAACUUCAACGAGGACACUUUGUACUUUUCACUAUCACUCUGUUUCAUAUUAAACGGUGUUUGUGGGAGCGUGUACCGUGCCACCCUGUUUAAUUGGUUUAGAAGCACUUCUGAAAGCUCACCGCUGCCCCGAACCCAGGCAUGAGGUUUCAACGUGAUUAACAAAGAUGUCUGUGGUCAUUUCAUAAAAUUGUCGAGCGUCAGGUACUUAGUGAGGAACAUCAUCACAUCGUUUCUGUGGGAGAAGUAGAUCAGAUUUAGAUCAUUUCGGCUAAUAAGCGCAUUUUACAAGCCCAGGCUCUCCCAGGCCAGGUGGAAAAAACAGCUCAGAAAUGGGAAUUCACUGCAGACCUUGUUCACUCCCUGGCGUUGCUCACCAGAGUCGGCACAGAAGCUCACCUCCCACCGUUGUGAAGCUAGAUGGAAUUCUCAGCUCCCAGGAAAUAGCGUGCUCCCACAGGGCUCUUUCUGACGAUUGGAAGGCUAGCCCACAUACGCGCCGAGUUUCCCUUAUCACAGAGUAUCAAGAAGGGUGGGAGGGCCAGGGAGAGCUCAGUUACUGAAAGCCUCCUGGGAUCAGGCAUUGUGCUUGAGGCCAUUAUCUCGUUAAAUCCCACAGCAUCCCUGGAAGAAAGGUACUGUGAUUAUACCCAUUUUGCAGAUGAGAAAACAAGGUCCAGAGAGGUGAACUGACUUGUCCAAAGUCACCCAGCAUUCUAACAUGGAAUAGAAGCAGAGCUGUCUCACCGCAAGGCCGGUUUUCCUCCAUACUUCAUCCGCGUCCUGGGGUGUCGUGUCCGGGAGCCCUUCCCAGCCUGACUCUGAGCCCGUUUCUGCUUUGGCUCCCAGCCUGUGUCCUACUGACUCGUACUUUCAAGCUUGGCAGAAGAUUCCGGCACAAGUUCUCUCUUGGGUAAUAUAAUAUAAUAUAAUAUAAGAUGACCACUUAUAUAGUUUUUAAGCUAUUGGAACCAGCUUCCAGGAGGGUCCACGCCAUGGAUACACCAGUUUCUAAGUAAGGGAAACCUGUGUCCUAGAGAAGAACAACUCACAAUUCAUAUCCUACCGUGAUUUAUUCUCAGUUAAUGACGACGGCAAGUGACCUCCAUGACCACUGGCAUGCUCCUCCAAGACUGACUUUAGGUGAACUUGGGACAUAGAGUUCAGAGACGUGAGGGACCAAAGAGGGGCCUGGGUACCUUUGGAUUGGCUGCAUAUUCGGGAUUUGGCUCACCUUAUGCAGAAGAGGGACUGUGCUGACGUCAAGAUGUCAGAAGAGCCCCCAGGGACACUGAAGGUGUGGAUGAUGAAGCCACAGGCUGGCUCGGGCUCCACUGCCCCUCAGAAAGAGAGGAAUUCAGCCCCCCUGUCCUAACGCUUCUACACUGACCUGCCGAUGUCCAGAAGAGAGGGGACUCCUGGGCUGGCUUAAUAUCAAUAAUAACACCAGUGUCCUCUCUUUCUUCAACUUCCCUCUGGAUGGUGAGGACUUUGAAGACCUUGAGGGGAGGCAAGCUACAGGAUGGAGGGGGCCUGGGUCCCUAAAUGACUGCAAGGAGCAGUGCUCUCUCUCCUCCACUGACCUGCUUUGAACUUAUGGCAUGAGUAAUAAACUGACUCUUCUGGAAUUAAAAGCCUGAGAC
rnacentral:lncRNA from 1 species